AACGCAUAUGGCACCCGAGACCUCGGUCGAGGGUAUGUCUGCCUCAGAGUCGGCGUAAAAAUAACUCCCCUGCUGGCGUUGCCUCGGCACACACCAGCCCAGGGGGACCUGACCCUCCCGCACCGCAGGUGCGGGUUGGUCGAAGGUGAGAAACGGGUGCACCUGGCCGGAGAACUUCCCGGCUGACCGAGAUUUGUUGGAAGGACUAACGUCCGACUUUUAUCCAUCUCGGUACAGGGGUUUACACACCGCGCCACGGUCGCCCGCGUUGCAGGAAAAGCCGGGGUCCGGGCCGUGCUUCUCGCACGUACCCAGGAGCUCCCCCACUGUAUCCGACCUGAGUUCAGGCAAGAUCACCCGCUGAACUUAA
rnacentral:misc_RNA from 1 species